AGUAUCGGGGAUAACUGUAGAGUUGCGGUGUCCCCAGCAACGCACAACGUUCCCCCUCGUUUAAAUUUGUUCAAUGUCUUAUUGAUGCAGAAUAUGACAAAAGUCGCGAGUUUGCUUUACUCUUUCAAAAUGGUGGUAAUGGAAAUCAGACACAGAAGAAGAAAUUACAUGAUCGCUAAAAAAAAAUAAUGGACGCAAUGGAUCUAUUUGAAAGAGGUGAAAUAGAUAUACAGGGAUUUCUGACAUGCACUGUUUCCUUAUCUGACCGCUUUUCAAAGCAGGACUUCUUUGAAGGGGUGGACAAUGAAAGCAAUUUAACUGGAAUGUCUUCUGAUAUGAAAUCUUCCACAUCGUCACAUUCAUCGAAUGAUUCUCAUUCAAGUCAGUCAUCUAAUAAAUCAUUGGUUCAAAUGAAUCCAUGCAAUGUGUGCCUAUGUAACCCAAAGUCUGUGUUGUUGCGCCCGUGCAAUCACGUAAACAUUUGUGGUACAUGUUGGGAUCAAAUUGUGGCCCACAACCAAGCAAAAAACGACUUGGAAGAAAAUGAAAAUAUAAAGCCAAAAUGUCCAAGUUGCAACCGAGAAGUCGAAGAGGCCAUACGCAAUGUUUUUAUUUAUAAUUAACUUGUGUAAGUUAAGAACGACAAAAUUUAAGAAAACUGCUAUUAUGAUUUCUGUGUAUUUGGACUAUUGCACAUUUUUUAAUUUCAAUAAAAUCAUGUUAUAAAAUGAAAUGCUGUCAAAAAAAUAUAAGUGUAUUUUACAUGCGAAA